GGACUCGUAUUCAUUUUUUAAUAUUUUCGGGUCUUUUAGUCAAGAUAAAAUAAUGAAGCGCGUCUUACGCGCACUACACACUAGCAUUAGCUGUUCUCCUAAUCUAUCGAUUAGCUCAGCUGAUACAUCACCUUUUUUUUUUGUUAAACUUCACUCAGCCGAUGACGUCAUUUUAAAGAAGAUCAUAGUUACACUUCUUUAGAGAAAAUAUACUCCAAUUACAAUACAUCUUUUUUUUUUUUUUUGAAAAAAGGGCUUAAUUACAAUACAUCUUCACAUCAUCGUAAAUCGAUUUACUUUUGAAUGUUUAUCAACAGUGUUCAAUUGGGUUAUCUUCUGUUACAUUUUGUUUUUAUAAUCAAUUUAAUUUUUAUCUCCUAGAUCAAUCAUUUUGAUGUUGACAUUAUUCAUUUCUGUUAGAAGACGGGGCAUGAACCUCAAUUUUUGAUAUAAAAAAUUUGUAUUUGUUUGUAUAUGAGAGUUGUUAGUUUGUUCUUGUCAAAACAAAAUUAGAUUUUAAUAAUUUAGUUUGUAAUAUGUGUAUAACUGUGUAUAUUAUUUUGAUU
rnacentral:lncRNA from 1 species